rnacentral:rRNA from 1 species
GAUGAACGCUGGCGGCGUGCCUAAUACAUGCAAGUCGAGCGAACAGACGAGGAGCUUGCUCCUCUGACGUUAGCGGCGGACGGGUGAGUAACACGUGGAUAACCUACCUAUAAGACUGGGAUAACUUCGGGAAACCGGAGCUAAUACCGGAUAAUAUAUUGAACCGCAUGGUUCAAUAGUGAAAGACGGUUUUGCUGUCACUUAUAGAUGGAUCCGCGCCGCAUUAGCUAGUUGGUAAGGUAACGGCUUACCAAGGCAACGAUGCGUAGCCGACCUGAGAGGGUGAUCAGCCACACUGGAACUGAGACACGGUCCAGACUCCUACGGGAGGCAGCAGGAGGGAAUCUUCCGCAAUGGGCGAAAGCCUGACGGAGCAACGCCGCGUGAGUGAUGAAGGUCUUCGGAUCGUAAAACUCUGUUAUUAGGGAAGAACAAAUGUGUAAGUGACUAUGCACGUCUUGACGGUACCUAAUCAGAAAGCCACGGCUAACUACGUG